rnacentral:rRNA from 1 species
GGGCGCAGCCUGAUCCAGCCAUGCCGCGUGAGUGAUGAAGGCCCUAGGGUUGUAAAGCCCUUUCACCGGUGAAGAUAAUGACGGUAACCGGAGAAGAAGCCCCGGCUAACUUCGUGCCAGUAGCCGCGGUAAUACGAGGGGGCUAGCGUUGUUCGGAUUUACUGGGCGUAAAGCGCACGUAGGCGGACUUUUAAGUCAGGGGUGAAAUCCCGGGGCUCAACCCCGGAACUGCCUUUGAUACUGGAAGUCUUGAGUAUGGUAGAGGUGAGUGGAAUUCCGAGUGUAGAGGUGAAAUUCGUAGAUAUUCGGAGGAACACCAGUGGCGAAGGCGGCUCACUGGACCAUUACUGACGCUGAGGUGCGAAAGCGUGGGGAGCAACCAGGAUUAGAUACCCUGGUAGUCCACGCCGUAAACGAUGAAUGUUAGCCGUUGGGGAGUUUACUCUUCGGUGGCGCAGCUAACGCAUUAAACAUUCCGCCUGGGGAGUACGGUCGCAAGAUUAAAACUCAAAGGAAUGGACGGA